AUGGUGUCGUCAGUCACCCUGGCAAGGAAAUCCCAGUCGUUCGUCGUGCCGGCCGCGCCGGCGUCGGGAGAGACGCUGGAGCUGUCCGCCAUCGACCGCGUGCCCGGGCUGCGCCACACCGUGCGGUCACUGCACGUGUUCCGGCGCAACGGCGCCGACAGCGCCAGGCCGGCCGAGGUGAUCCGCGCCGCGCUGUCGCGCGCGCUGGUGGAGUACCCCGCGUUCGCCGGCCGCUUCGUGGGAUCGGCGGCGGCUGGCGAGGCCUGCGUUGCGUGCACCGGCGACGGCGCUUGGUUCGUUGAGGCCGCCGCCGACUGCAGCCUGGAGGACGUGAACGGCCUGGACUACCCUCUCGUGGUCUGCGAGGAGGAGCUGCUGCCCGCUCCGGAGGAAGGCGUUGACCCUACCACUAUUCCGGUCAUGAUGCAGGUGACCGAAUUCACUUGUGGAGGAUUUGUUGUGGGCUUGGUAGCGGUCCACACCCUCACAGACGGGCUUGGCGCAGCACAAUUCAUCAACACAAUUGCUGAGUUAGCCCGCGGUCUGGACAAGCCUACGGUGGCUCCUGCAUGGGCUCGGGCUGUAAUCCCAAGCCCACCCAAGUUACCUCCAGGGCCACCGCCAUCGUUCCAGUCCUUCGGCUUCCAGCAUUUCGCCACAGAUGUUAGCUCAGAGUGUAUCGCCCAUGUCAAGGUCGAAUACUUCCAAGCAAUGGGUCAGUAUUGCUCAACUUUUGAUGUCGCCAUUGCAAUGGUUUGGCAAGCUCGAACUCGGGCCAUCAAGUACAGUCCAGAAUCCGAGGUCAAAAUAUGCUUCUUCGCAAACACCAGACACCUUCUCACACAAGUUCUCCCAAAGGAUGGGGGCUUCUACGGCAACUGCUUCUACCCGGUUACCGUGACAUCUAUGGCGAAGGAUGUUGCCAUGAUGGGGCUGCUUGGUGUGAUCAGGAUGAUUAGGGACGGGAAGGCAAGGCUCCCUUUGGAGUUUGCCAAGUGGGCGUCAGGGGAUGUGAAGAUUGAUCCAUACCAGUUGGCGUUCGAGCACAAUGUGCUAUUUGUGUCGGAUUGGACGAGGCUUGGAUUCUUUGAGGUCGACUACGGGUGGGGCACUCCUAGCCAUAUCUUACCAUUUACCUAUGCAGAUUACAUGGCGGUCGUGGUGCUUGGUGCUCCGCCAAUGCCCAAGAAGGGCACACGAGUUAUGACCCAGUGUGUGGAGGAGAAGUAUCUCAAUGAGUUCAAGGAUGAGAUGAAGGGUUUCUUUUAA
rnacentral:rRNA from 1 species